AAAUAACAAAAUAUACUUCCACACGCGCAGUUCCCCGUCGUGAAUGGUAGGGCUGAUUUUUGAAAAUGGCAGUCAACGAGAACCAGGAGCUGGAGAAGCCUUCUUGAAAAUAAAAAAUACCAUCAGAAUCCGAGACUUUGACGAAUAAUUGAUGCUGUUCAUCAUGAAGGGAUAUGAGGGUGUGCUGCUGUACUUCAGCCAGUUGAACUUACAGAGAAGUCAGACUUGUAUGCGAAGGCCCCAAAACAUUCCAGCGAGGAUAUCGUAUUUACAAAGCAUGUACUCUAUAAGUGUUCCUGUCCUUGUUCCUGACGAUCGGGAACACAUACGUCAAUUCCGGGAACGGUUUCAGAAGCAGCCGCCGUAUCUAUUGUGUGUCUGCUUUGUUCACUUGUUUCCCGGCAUCCGUUCGGCGGGUUGCUUAAUAGGAUGGGCGGGCGAGAGGGGCGAGCAAAACACAAGUUGCAGUUAUUUCUCUUCAUAUAUUAACUCGCAAAAUUCGCUUGAUGUGUAUCUAUUGCAUGAUAUAAUUAA